UCAAUGGUGGUUCAAAUAUUAUGGAGAAA
rnacentral:sRNA from 1 species